rnacentral:rRNA from 1 species
UGGGGAAUAUUGGGCAAUGGGCGAAAGCCUGACCCAGCAACGCCGCGUGAAGUAUGAAGGCCUUCGGGUUGUAAACUUCUUUGAUCAGGGAAGAAACAAAUGACGGUACCUGAAAAACAAGCCACGGCUAACUACGUGCCAGCAGCCGCGGUAAUACGUAGGUGGCGAGCGUUAUCCGGAUUUACUGGGUGUAAAGGGCGUGCAGGCGGGCUGAUAAGUCAGAUGUGAAAUCCCCGAGCUUAACUCGGGAACUGCAUCUGAUACUGUUGGUCUUGAGUGCUGGAGAGGAUAGUGGAAUUCCUAGUGUAGCGGUAAAAUGCGCAGAUAUUAGGAGGAACACCAGUGGCGAAGGCGGCUAUCUGGACAGUAACUGACACUGAGGCACGAAAGCGUGGGUAGCAAACAGG